rnacentral:rRNA from 1 species
AUUGCACGCUGGAGGCAGGCCUAACACAUGCAAGUCGAACGAGUGGCGGACGGGUGAGUAAUGUCUGGGAAACUGCCUGAUGGAGGGGGAUAACUACUGGAAACGGUAGCUAAUAACGCAUACCAUCGGAUGUGCCCAGAUGGGAUUAGAUAGUAGGUGGGGUAAAGGCUCACCUAGGCGACGAGCCCUAGCUGGUAUGAGAGGAGGACCAGACACACUGGAACUGAGACACGGUCCAAACUCCUACGGGAGGCAGCAGUGGUGAAUAUUGCACAAUGGGCGCAAGCCUGCUGCAGCCAUGCCGCGUGUAUGAAGAAGGCCUUCGGGUUGUAAAGUACUUUCAGCGGGGAGGCGUUACCCGCAGAAGAAGCACCGGCUAACUCCGUGCCAGCCGCCGCGGUAAUUC